rnacentral:rRNA from 1 species
UUGGCGGACGGGUGAGUAACACGUGAGCAACCUACCUUCGAGAGGGGAAUAACGGCUGGAAACGGUCGCUAAUACCGCAUAACAUACUGGAGGGACAUCCCUUUGGUAUCAAAGAUUUAUCGCUCGGAGAUGGGCUCGCGUCCGAUUAGGUAGUUGGUGAGGUAACGGCUCACCAAGCCGACGAUCGGUAGCCGGACUGAGAGGUCGAACGGCCACAUUGGGACUGAGACACGGCCCAGACUCCUACGGGAGGCAGCAG